UGGGGAAUAUUGCACAAUGGGCGAAAGCCUGAUGCAGCAACGCCGCGUGAGGGAUGACGGCCUUCGGGUUGUAAACCUCUUUUAGUAGGGAAGAAGCGAAAGUGACGGUACCUGCAGAAAAAGCACCGGCUAACUACGUGCCAGCAGCCGCGGUAAUACGUAGGGUGCAAGCGUUGUCCGGAAUUAUUGGGCGUAAAGAGCUCGUAGGCGGUUUGUCGCGUCUGCUGUGAAAUCCCGAGGCUCAACCUCGGGCUUGCAGUGGGUACGGGCAGACUAGAGUGCGGUAGGGGAGAUUGGAAUUCCUGGUGUAGCGGUGGAAUGCGCAGAUAUCAGGAGGAACACCGAUGGCGAAGGCAGAUCUCUGGGCCGUAACUGACGCUGAGGAGCGAAAGCGUGGGGAGCGAACA
rnacentral:rRNA from 1 species